GGCUUCUUUUUUUUUUUUUUAAUAACGUAACAGUUUUUGAAAGGGAGCAGUUUGGGUCUUUAGAUCUCAAUCUGGUCUUUAGGUAUCAAUCUGGUCUUUAGGUCUCAAUCUGUUCUUUAGACCUCCAUUUGGACUUUAGGUAAUAGUGUGGUCUUCAGGUCAUAAGCAGGUCUUCAGGUCAUAAGCAGGUCUUUAGGUCUCAGUCAGGACUUUAGGUCUCAGUCAGGACUUUAGGUCUCAAUCUGGUCUUUAGGUCUCCAUUUGGACUUUAGGUCGUAGUCUGGUCUUCAGGUCUCAGUCGGGUCUUUAGGUCAUAGUCGGGUGUUUAGGUCGUAGGCAGGUCUUUAGUUCUUAGUCAGGUCUUUAGUUCGUAGGCAGGUCUUUAGGUCAUGGCUGGGACUUUAGUUCAUGGCCGGGACUUUAGUUCAUAGUCGAGUCUUCAGAUCAUAGUCGGUACUUUAAGUCAUGGUCGGGUCUUUAGAUCAUAGUCAGGACUUUAGGUCGUGGUCGGGUCUUUAGAUCAUGGUCAGGACUUCAGAUCGUAUUCAGGUCUUUAGGUCGUGGUCGGGUCUUUAGAUCAUAUAGUCAGGACUUUAGGUCGUAACGGGUCUUUAGAUCAUAGUCAGGACUUUAGGUCGUGGUCGGGAUUUUAGGUCGUGGUCGGGUCUUUAGAUCAUAUAGUCAGGACUUUAGGUCGUAACGGGUCUUUAGAUCAUAGUCAGGACUUUAGGUCGUGGUCGGGAUUUUAGGUCGUGGUCGGGAUUUUAGGUCGUGGUCGGGACUUUAGGUCGUGGUCGGGUCUUUAUAUCAUGGUCAGGACUUUAGGUCGUAUUCAGGUCUUUAGGUCGUGGUCGGGUCUUUAGACCAUAGUCAGGUCUUUAGGUCAUGGUUGGGACUU